rnacentral:rRNA from 1 species
UCCAUGAAGCUGGAUUCGCUAGUAAUCGCGCAUCAGCCACGGCGCGGUGAAUACGUUCCCGGGCCUUGUACACACCGCCCGUCAAGCCAUGGAAGCCGGGAGUGCCUGAAGUACGCGACCGCAAGGAGCGUCCUAAGGUAAAACCGGUGACUGGGGCUAAGUCGUAACAAGGUAAC